rnacentral:rRNA from 1 species
GGACAGGGAGACAGGUGGUGCAUGGUGUCGUCAGCUCGUGUCGUGAGAUGUGGGUUAGUCCGCAACGAGCGCAACCCUACGUUUAGUUGCUAACAGGUGAAGCUGAGCACUCUAGACGAACUGCCGUUGACAAACGGAGGAAGGUGGGGAUGACGUCAAAUCAUCAUGCCCCUUAUGACCUGGGCUACACACGUGCUACAAUGGUUGGUACAACGAGUUGCGAGUCGGUGACGGCGAGCUAAUCUCUUAAAGCCAAUCUCAGUUCGGAUUGUAGGCUGCAACUCGCCUACAUGAAGUCGGAAUCGCUAGUAAUCGCGGAUCAGCACGCCGCGGUGAAUACGUUCCCGGGCCUU